CUUUGUAUAACUAAGUUAAGUGCUGGAUUCUUACUCCAGCAAUGUGUUUUCACUGCAAGGU
rnacentral:tRNA from 1 species